rnacentral:lncRNA from 1 species
GACAUGCUAGAUUUUGAUUUGUGGUGGGUACUUAGAACCUCUUGUGGUUGGGUUCACUUGUACCUAUCAACUACCUAGGACUCUGCUUUUAGACCCUAACGCGUGGUUGAACUCUGGCCAUGACGACAGAGCAACUUUUUGUACCCAUAUCUGGGCUGAAAGGACCAGAUUGGGCUGAAUGUGUUUAGAGAUAAUUUUGAUCUAUUAAGGCAAUAGCGACAAAAUAGAUUCAUAAUGUGGGGUGCUAGCUAGAGUCGUAGGUAGAUGAUAAAUUUAAAUUUUAUUAAAAGAUGCAAAUUACAACAGUAAGAUUUGUAAUUUUUAAACUAACACAUAGACUAAGAGGCUCUAGCGCGCUUGAUACUAAGCGCGAUGUUGCUGUGCGUUGUCCGUGUG